rnacentral:rRNA from 1 species
AACGAACGCUGGCGGCGCGCCUAAUACAUGCAAGUCGAGCGAGAAGACGUAGCAAUACGUUUGUAAAGCGGCGAACGGGUGAGGAAUACAUGGGUAACCUACCCUCGAGUGGGGAAGUAACUAGCCGAAAGGUUAGCUAAUACCGCGUACGCUCCUUGGACUUCGGUUUCAGGGAGGAAAGACGAUACCGUGGGUAUCGCGCUCUUGGAUGGGCUCAUGUCCUAUCAGCUUGUUGGUGAGGAACGGCUCACCAAGGCUUCGACGGGUAGCUGGUCUGAGAGGACGAUCAGCCACACUGGCACUGCGACACGGGCCAGACUCCUACGGGAGGCAGCAGUAAGGAAUAUUGCGCAAUGGGCGAAAG